rnacentral:rRNA from 1 species
AUUGCCUCAGUAACGGCGAGUGAAGCGGCAACAGCUCAAAUUUGAAACCUGCCAACCGGCCGGAUUGUAAUUUGUAGAGGAUGCUUUGGAGUCAGCACUGAUCUAAGUUUCUUGGAACAGUACGUCACAGAGGGUGAGAAUCCCGUUCGUGGUCGGCUGCUGGCUUCGUGUAAAGCUCCUUCGACGAGUCGAGUUGUUUGGGAAUGCAGCUCAAAAUGGGUGGUAAAUUUCAUCUAAAGCUAAAUAUUGGCCAGAGACCGAUAGCGCACAAGUAGAGUGAUCGAAAGAUGAAAAGCACUUUGGAAAGAGAGUUAAACAGCACGUGAAAUUGUUGAAAGGGAAGCGCUUGCAAUCAGACUUGCGCGUAGGUAAUCAAGGGCGGUUCGCUGCCCUGCACUUGCCUGCGCUCAGGCCAGCAUCAGUUUUGGGGGUGGGAUAAAGGCCGUGGGAAUGUGGC